UACGGGAGGCAGCAGUGAGGGAUAUUGCACAAUGGAGGAAACUCUGAUGCAGCGAUGCCGCGUGGAGGAAGAAGGUUUUCGGAUUGUAAACUCCUGUUUCGAGGGACGAUAAUGACGGUACCUCGGGAGGAAGCUCCGGCUAACUACGUGCCAGCAGCCGCGGUAAU
rnacentral:rRNA from 1 species